CAGAGGGUGCGAGCGUUGUUCGGAAUUACUGGGCGUAAAGCGCGCGCAGGCGGUUCUUUAAGUCUACCCGUGAAAUGCCGGAGCUCAACUCCGUGCACGCCGGGGGAUACUGGAGAACUGGAGACAGGUAGAGGCAGGCGGAACUCCGGGUGUAGCGGUGGAAUGCGUAGAGAUCCGGAAGAACACCAGAGGCGAAGGCGGCCUGCUGGGCCUUGUCUGACGCUGAGGCGCGAAAGCGUGGGGAGCGAACAGGAUUAGAUACCCUGGUAGUCCACGCCGUAAACGAUGGGCACUGGGCGCGGGUGGGAUCGACCCCUUCCGUGCCGUAGCUAACGCGAUAAGUGCCCCGCCUGGGGAGUACGGCCGCAAGGCUG
rnacentral:rRNA from 1 species